rnacentral:rRNA from 1 species
GACGUAGGGCGCAAGCGUUGUCCGGAAUUAUUGGGCGGAAAGAGCUCGUAGGUGGUUUGUUACGUCCGCUGUGAAAUCCUAGGGCUUAACCCUGAGCUUGCAGUGGAUACGGGCAGACUAGAGGUAGGUAGGGGAGAAUGGAAUUCCUGGUGUAGCGGUGAAAUGCGCAGAUAUCAGGAGGAACACCGGUGGCGAAGGCGGUUCUCUGGGCCUUACCUGACACUGAGGAGCGAAAGCGUGGGGAGCGAACAGG